rnacentral:lncRNA from 1 species
GUCGGUCAAAUUGAGCUGAGAGCAUGAUUUAAAAGAAAACUACAAUUUCUGAUAAAUGACGUGGGGAUGGGUAAAGUUUUGUUUUUGUUUUGAGUCUUAUCAUCAAGAUUCAAGGCUUAGGAGUCUGCGCUUUGCUUCACUCCAGCGUCUUAUAUGUUUUGCAGUCGGUGGGCAGGGCUCGGGAUAACUUCCAUACUCCUCCCAUUGUGGUAGCCCUGCGGACCCCACCGCAUUAUCUCUCUGCUGCCGGUCGCUCUUGGAGGCGCGCGCUUUGCGCGCGUCGGGGGGGGCACCGGGGGCGUGCAGCGCGAACGGCUGCCGCGCUCAGCAACUGGUGACCGAUUCAGUGGCAAAACGUGUCGAGCCAAUUCAUCUGACUGAUUGAGGAGGACUGGCAAGAGUUUGCGCGUGUUUCAGAGUGCGUCUUUGAGACCUGCUCGAUCUCCGGGCUGCGGAGGACUCAGCGGGCGCGUGUUUGGCCGCAGAGAGACUAGUCUUUGCGCACGGUUUGUCCAACUCCAGACCGAGUUCGUGUCCUUGCAUUGGAAUUGUGCGUAACUUUAUUUUCAGUUAAGGGACCAUGUCGUUGUUUAUAGAUCGAUUUAGUCAAUUAGAAUAUAUUGUGAUUCACUUCAAACUCUGUUUGCGCAGUUUGCUGGUUAAACGCACCGUCUGUGAGGAUCCAGAUGUAAUCGGUGCAGUGACGGCACUUCAAUGGCGAAACUAUAACUUUGUCAGUUUGGUGCGUUUUCCCUCUGAUCCUGUUGACCAGGCCGGUUAACCUGAGCAAUGAAUCGAUUUGAGAGUUUGUCAGAAUUUACACAGCGUUCCAUCCUUUUUGGAAAUGGGGUCGUAGCUAAAGAGCCAGAUUGUUUCCCUGGGGAGCUGAUAGAGGCCACAACACAGCUACUGGACUUAGAUCAUUUUGGUGUGGAGAAAGAUGACUCCAAACAAGAGUCAAUGAUGUUCUGUGUCAUUGCUAACACGUUCCUCAUAACAACUUUUUUACAAUAAUAACAUUAAAGCUCUGUAAAUUUACAGUUUGUUGCACUGCCCCCAAGUGUUCAAAAAGAGCAAUUCAUUUUUGUUUUAAACUCAAAAUUACUGCCGUGGAAUAUGACUGUUGAUUCUGGUUAUAAUAAUGAUAAUCCAGAAGUUGAAAACGAUGUGUUUUUUUUAUCUAACAUUAUGUACAAUAUGUUUUGGAAAAUGUGCUAAGGGUAAAAAUCGUACUUUUGGAAAAUGUCUAAAUCCACACUUCACAAUCAUGGUUUCAAUCUAUGUUUAAUCUUGUACGGAAAAAACAUGUCUUGAAAAAAAUCACAAAGAAGAAUCUGAAUACAUCCUGCAUGUAUUGCAUUACAUACUUUUCACCACAUACAGCACAUUGAACUCACGGCACACAGAACAAGACUGAGUCCACGGCGGGGCAAGGACUGCCUUAUGUAACAUGGGGUGAAUUAUGGUAUCACAGCAGCUCCAAUACCCCGUGUUCAUUUUGAUUUGGAAUAAAAGUGAGAAAACACCACGCUAACGAAUCUGCUUAUCUCCGAAAGCUUUGUUGUGUUGGACCUGCUGUGUCGCUGUAGGCAAUAUCUAAGAAAAGAGGAGCACCACUUUAGAUGGAGGCUCUCCUGGAAUGAUUUAAGGUCCUGGGUUAAACCAUGAAAACGUGUAUCCAGGGCCCGUUCCAAAAGUAUGAUUUCCAGCCUUAGCAUAAUAUUUUCUUACACAUUCUGCACUUUCAUGCGGUUCUGUAGUUCAACACAGCAGCAGCACAGUUCAAGAUCAGGCCUGCGAUUCAACCCGGUGACCA